AUGAACGCUGGCGGCGUGCCUAAUACAUGCAAGUCGAGCGAACAGAUGAGGAGCUUGCUCCUCUGACGUUAGCGGCGGACGGGUGAGUAACACGUGGAUAACCUACCUAUAAGACUGGGAUAACUUCGGGAAACCGGAGCUAAUACCGGAUAAUAUAUUGAACCGCAUGGUUCAAUAGUGAAAGACGGUUUUGCUGUCACUUAUAGAUGGAUCCGCGCCGCAUUAGCUAGUUGGUAAGGUAACGGCUUACCAAGGCAACGAUGCGUAGCCGACCUGAGAGGGUGAUCGGCCACACUGGAACUGAGACACGGUCCAGACGCCUAAGGGAGGCAGCAGUAGGGAAUCGUCCGCAAUGGGCGAAAGCCUGACGGAGCAAGGCCGCGUGAGUGAUGAAGGUCUUCGGAUCGUAAAACUCUGUUAUUAGGGAAGAACAAAUGUGUAAGUAACUAUGCACGUCUUGACGGUACCUAAUCAGAAAGCCACGGCUAACUACGUG
rnacentral:rRNA from 1 species